CUCGAUUGUAAAAGCGGUGACAGGGUCUAGUCCUCCAGAUUCGGACACUGCUAAGGGUGACAAACGUAGAUGCCAACACAUCCGACACAGAUUCCACAAUAUACGGUUCACACGAUUGGCACUCGUUGGCAGCCAAAGACACAGAAGGCCUUCAAUAGAAGGCCUUUUGUUUGCAGCCUUGCAUUUGCCGGUGAAUCGACAUCUGUACGCUCGUUGAGCGAGUAUCGCACGGCGAUCCCAAGCUGGUGGUGCAACUUUGAGGUGCAGGGAAGUCACGGGUGGUGCAGCAGAUGAUACGCAUUGUGCGACAUUGAACCGGGUACGACGCAACAAAAGGUAGUGCGACGGAGAGCGUGCGACAUCAAGGAAGUAGCAUCGAUUUGCAGUGUGCAUUCUGCUCGUCCGAGAUUGCCAGGUGAUGCUUCAUGCAACAAAGGCACACUAGCGAAUGUGCGCUGAUAGCGAUAACGACGAUGCACCAGAUGCAGCAGGGG